AUACGUAGGGUGCGAGCGUUGUCCGGAAUUACUGGGCGUAAAGAGCUCGUAGGUGGUUUGUCGCGUCGUCUGUGAAAUUCCGGGGCUUAACUCCGGGCGUGCAGGCGAUACGGGCAUAACUUGAGUACUGUAGGGGAGACUGGAAUUCCUGGUGUAGCGGUGAAAUGCGCAGAUAUCAGGAGGAACACCGGUGGCGAAGGCGGGUCUCUGGGCAGUAACUGACGCUGAGGAGCGAAAGCAUGGGUAGCGAACAGGAUUAGAUACCCUGGUAGUCCAUGCCGUAAACGGUGGGCGCUAGGUGUAGGGGUCUUCCACGGCUUCUGUGCCGUAGCUAACGCAUUAAGCGCCCCGCCUGGGGAGUACGGCCGCAAGGCUAAAACUCAAAGGAAUUGACGGGG
rnacentral:rRNA from 1 species